GACGAACCGAGCGAACGUUGUUCGGAAUCACUGGGCUUAAAGGGCGCGUAGGCGGGUGCUCAAGUCCGUGGUGAAAUCCUCCGGCUCAACCGGAGAACUGCCUCGGAUACUGGGCGUCUCGAGUGUGGUAGGGGUAUGCGGAACUAUCGGUGGAGCGGUGAAAUGCGUUGAUAUCGAUAGGAACUCCGGUGGCGAAGGCGGUUCUCUGGGCCGAUACUGACGCUGAGGAGCGAAAGCGUGGGGAGCGAACAGG
rnacentral:rRNA from 1 species